rnacentral:rRNA from 1 species
UCAAGCUACAAAGAGCAUAGCGGAGGAUGCCUUGGUACAUGGCGCCGAAGAAGGACGUGACAAGCUGCGAUAAGCUGCGGGGAGCUGCAAAUAAGCUGAUCCGCAGAUUUCCGAAUGAGGGAACUCACCACGAGUAACGUCGUGGUAUCAUUACGUAAAUACAUAGCGUAAUGAAGGGAACCCGGGGAACUGAAACAUCUCAUUACCCGGAGGAAAAGAAAGUAAAAACGAUUCCGAAAGUAGUGGCGAGCGAAAUCGGAGAAGCCCAAACCGCGGGUAGUAAUACGCGCGGGGUAGAGGACUUGCAAAGGACAUGGACUGUAUAGCGGAACGGUAUUGGAAAAGCCGGACGGAGAGGGUGAAAUCCCCGUACGCGAAAUGCAGGACAUGCAGGCAAGUAUCCGGAGUACGUCGGGACACGAGGAAUCCUGACGGAAAAAGCGAGGACCAUCUCGUAAGGCUAAAUACGACCAUGUGACCGAUAGAGUAAAGUACCGUGAGGGAACGGUGAAAAGAACCCCGGGAGGGGAGUGAAAAAGAACCUGAAACCGUAUGCUUACAAGCAGACAGAGCACCACACGAGUGUGAUGUCGUACUUUUUGUAGAACGGGCCGGCGAGUUACGAUGUGCUGCGAGGUUAAGUGAUGAAGUCACGGAGCCGAAGCGAGAGCGAGUGCGAAAUGCGCGAGGUAAGUAGCAUGUCGUAGACCCGAAACCUGAUGACCUAUCCAUGAGCAGGUUGAAGCAGUGGUAAAACACUGUGGAGGACCGAACACACGCCUGUUGAAAUAGUCGGUGAUGACUUGUGGAUAGCGGAGAAAUUCCAAUCGAAUCAGGAGAUAGCUGGUUCUCCUCGAAAUAGCUUUAGGGCUAGCCUGUCGCGAGAUUACUGAAGGUAGAGCACUGAAUGGGCUAGGGGGCUUCACAGCUUACCGAACCUUAUCAAACUGCGAAUGGAAGAUAAUCGAUGCGGCGGAGUCAGACAGUGACAGAUAAGUGCCAUUGUCGAAAGGGAAACAGCCCAGAUCCACAGCUAAGGUCCCCAAGUACAGGUUAAGUGGGAAAGGAUGUGUUAUUGCAAAGACAACCAGGAUGUUGGCUUAGAAGCAGCCACACAUUAAAAGAGUGCGUAAUAGCUCACUGGUCGAGUGAUGAUGCGCCGAAGAUAUACCGGGGCUAAAACCUGACACCGAAGCGUGGGAAUGCGAGUAAUCGCAUUGGUAGAGGAGCAAUGUAUACAGGCAGAAGGCGUAGCGGAAGCGGCGCUGGACAGUAUACAAGAGAGAAUGCCGGCAUAAGUAGCGAGAGAGAGGCGAGAAACCUCUCCGUCGAAAAUCUAAGGUUUCCUGGGGAAGGUUCGUCCGCCCAGGGUAAGUCGGGACCUAAGUCGAGGGCGAAAGCCGUAGAUGAUGGACAAUCGGUAGAGAUUCCGAUACCGCCGACAGUCAUUUAAAUGAAGCAGUGACACAGGAAGAUAGUCAGAGCGCGUUUAUGGAAAAGCGCGUCUAAGGCGAGGUAGUGGCGAGUAGUGAAGUACGCUUGCUGGAAACUAUUGCGCUGACGGGGAGCGAAAAUAGUAGCGAAGCUGAUGAAUCUACACUGGCGAGAAAAGCUGCUAAAUAAGGCUGAAGGUGCCCGUACCGCAAACCGACACAGGUAGAUGAGAAGAAAAUUCUAAGACGAACGGGAGAACCCUUGUUAAGGAACUCGGCAAAAUGACCCCGUAACUUCGGGAGAAGGGGAGCCACAGAGAUGUGGCCGCAGUGAAGAGGCCCAAGCGACUGUUUACCAAAAACACAGGUCUCUGCGAAAGCGAAAGCUGACGUAUAGGGGCUGACGCCUGCCCAGUGCCGGAAGGUUAAGGGGAGAUGUUAGGAGCAAGUCCGAAGCAUUGAACUUAAGCCCCGGUGAACGGCGGCCGUAACUAUAACGGUCCUAAGGUAGCGAAAUUCCUUGUCGGGUAAGUUCCGACCCGCACGAAUGGCGUAACGAUUUGGGCACUGUCUCAACAGGGGGCCCGGCGAAAUUGAAGAAUGCGUGAAGAUGCGUAUUAACCCGCGACUGGACGGGAAGACCCCGUAGAGCUUUACUGUAACUUGAUAUUGAAUCACGGUAACGGAUGUACAGGAUAGGUGGGAGACUGGGAAGUAAGGACGUCAGUCCUUACGGAGUCGCCCUUGGGAUACCACCCUUCCUUUGCUGGGAUUCUAACGGUUUGCCAUAAACUGGGAAACGGACAGUGUCAGGUGGGCAGUUUGACUGGGGCGGUCGCCUCCUAAAGAGUAACGGAGGCGCCCAAAGGUUCCCUCAGAAUGGUUGGAAAUCAUUCAAAGAGUGUAAAGGCAGAAGGGAGCUUAACUGCGAGACAGACAUGUCGAGCAGGUACGAAAGUAGGGCUUAGUGAUCCGGCGGUAGAGAAUGGAAUUGCCGUCGCUUAACGGAUAAAAGUUACCUCGGGGAUAACAGGCUGAUCUCCCCCAAGAGUUCACAUCGACGGGGAGGUUUGGCACCUCGAUGUCGGCUCG